AAUGAAGGGGAGGAGUUUAUAAUGACUACAUAAAAGAGGGAGAGAGCACAAGUCAGUCCUUUCAAUCCUGCAGACUCUCUUGUCUGAGAUGGAGCGGAGAUGAUCCACUUGCAAGCAGUGAUCCAGCUGGCAAUGUACUGGAACAACUCCAGAACGCUGUCACUAGAUGACUGCCUACAAGAUGAGACAUUACGCUGCCGAAGGAUGGCCUUAGGCCUUUUUUCUUGAUGCUUGCAUUUUAUUUGUAAGUAACUAAAUAUAUUUUUAAAUAACAAGGAGGAAAGAAGGAGAACCUGUCUCCCACGGGAUUUGGGCACUCGGGUCCACUGCCCUGUUUUAGUGGCUACUGUGUGAUUUUCCUUUGGAAAUCUCAUCAGUCCUCUGGAUGGGGUUCAGUGGACCUGCAGUGUACAGCGCCAGAUCUAUGAGCUGCUGAUGAAGCACCGAAAACUAGAAGCCAAAAAUGACCCAGAAACUCUACAAAACUCUAUCCCAUUCCCUAUUGCUGGCUUCUGGUUGUCUGUGGCUUGGUUGGUAGGUCAUGAGGAUGACUUGCUGUAAAACAACCUAUUUUUUCCAAGGCUGAGUGCAUCUUUCUGAAAAAGAGAAAAAACAAUAAAAAUUGAAAAACCUGGUAACUAAAAUUAAUGUCUGUGUUUUCUUUGAUUUUGUUACAGUGAACACUAUCCGAACAAGUUAAAGAGUCAAAAUCAUUAUUCAUCUUAAAUGAACUGGUAAUCAUGCUUUGUUAUCCCAGGUAAAAAAAGUUAUAUACUACUACUAAGUGUACUUAAGUUUCACCUGGGCUUAUACAUAACAGCAGCGGUGUAGCUUUGGUUUGAGAAGUGGGGGACACAAAAUAGGGGAAAAUGUUUUCGACUUGAAUCCCAUUUCUUGCAUUUACAUACGUUUAGGGACUAUCUAUGGUGAUACAAAAUACAGUAAAUAAUUAAGUUAAUUAUAAUGAAAAUUUUGCCAAAAAGAAUAGUAUGCUACUAAACUAAGAAAAAUAUGUCUUAUUUUCUUUGUUGUUUAAUUAACCGAUCACCAACAUUUGAGACAAUCGUUUUAUAAAGUCAAAAAUCCAUUAAUCACAUUAACCAUUAAUGUGAAAGUGGGGGAGGGGACACGAUUGGGAUUUUGAAAAGUGUGGGGGGGGGACAUGUCCCCCUCGCCCCAAUGGAAAUUACGCCCCUGCAUAACAAUACAAAUACUUGUGUACUUGUAUAGUUAGUGUACUUUUGUACUUGUAUAGCAGUGUUUAGUUAAAGCGAUAGAUUAGUAUGUGUGUUGCCUGGAAUUGAACCCACAACCUUUUGCGUUACAAUGCAAUGCUUUACCACUGAACUUUAAGAACUCUGCAUAGCAUAAAUACAACAUUAUGUAUAGAGCAAUGGGCUGAUAUCAAUGUGUCAGGGGAACUCUGAAAAAUUCAAAAUGUCAAAUAUAUAAAAAAAACAAUACUGGUAAGAUUUUAAUUUGAUCAAACAUUAAUUAAUCUACUGUACAGCUCUAUAUACAUAUAAUAUUAUCUAUCUAAUAUGAUUUACUACAAUUUGUUUUGAUCAAGCAAGCCUGGACAGGACUGGCUUCCAUAAGUCAAUCAAUCAGGAGGAAGAUAUGAAGUCAGCCAAUCAGGAGGAAGAUAGGAAGAAAAGUAUAAAAACUAUGCAAAGUCUCUGCACUAUAGAUUUGACCCUUUCACUUGCAAACCAGUCUGCCUUGAAUCUAAACAUAUUGUGACUAUGCAGAUGGCACAUGUAACUGUAUACAAGACAUGAUGAGCAGUUCACAGACUGUAAACAGUAUGGAAAUGAGGGGGAGGAGUUUAUAAUGACUACAUAAAAGAGGAAGAGAGCACAAGUCGGUCCUUUCAAUCCUGCAGACUCUCUUGUCUGAGAUGGAGCGGAGAUGAUCCACUUGCAAGCAGUGAUCCAGCUGGCAAUGUACUGGAACAACUCCAGAACGCUGUCACUCGAUGACUGCCUACAAGAUGAGACAUCACGCUGCUGAAGGAUGGCUUUUGGCAUUUUGCCUAAUGCUUGCAUUUUAUUUUUGUUUUUGGAGGAGAGGAGGAAAACCCGUCUGCCAAGGGAUUUGGGCACUCGGGUCCACUGCCCUGUUUUAGUGGCUCCUGUGUGGUUUUCCUUUGGAAACCCCAUCAGUCCUCUGGAUGGGGUUCAGUGGACCUGCAGUGUACAGCGCCAGUUCUAUGAACUGCUGAUGAAGCACCGAAAACUAGAAGCAACCAAAAGAACCUACACAACUCAACAAAUGACACAGAAAGUCGACUAUUACCUAUCCCUAAACCUUAUGGUCGGCUUCUGGUUGUCUGUUGCUUGGUUGGUAGGUCAUGGGGAUGGCCUGCUGUGAAACACAACCUUUUUUAUUUUUAUUUCCAAGGCUGCGCAACUUUCAGAAAAAAGACAAUAAAAAUUGAAAAACCUGGUAACUGAAAUGAAUGUCUGUGUUGUCUUUUAUUUCAUUACAGUGAAAAACUAUCUAUAAAAAAGAGUCAAAAUGAGAAUAUCUUAACUGAAUUGGUAAUCAUGCAGUGUUCUCCCAGAUUAAAACAAAGUAAAUAAAAGUGUAAAAGUUAUAUACUACAAAUAAGUGUAUUUUAGUGAAUCCAGCUUUUUUAAAAAAAAGUGUUUUGCUAAAUUUUCUUUAAAUUACCAUAUCACAAAUAAAGAGGUACCCAGUUUGUCCUAUAACUGUGAACCAACAUUAGAUAUAUUUACAGAUACCUCAGCAAGAAAUAUGUAAAGGUUAACAUCUAAACUUGAAGUGUAGGACAUUUUGUUUUCAGUUGAUACAGGAUCCUAAUUAUAAAUAAAUUUAGCAGAUGUAUUCCAAAGCAACAAGCAAAAAGUCUAUGCAAACCAAUGUACCAAUGCACACAAUAAUAAAAGUGAGUCAUGAAUCCUCCCUAACAUGUUGUUUACUUGUGAAUACAAACACAAGGUAGUUAGGUGGAGUUCAUUUUCCAUCACAUGCUUUAAUAAUAGAAAAUUCCCUGUGGUUUUGUUUUGGUUGGCUAGGGACAUUUACAUUUAGGCAGAUGCUUUUAUCCAAAGCGACUUACGAAGAUAAGGAAACAAUGGACCAGCUUAAUAACUUAAGAUUAAAAUUUUAUGAAACAUAAAAUGUUUCAGUAUAGCUGUAUAUACACAUAAUAUUAUCUAUCUAAUAUGAUUAACUACAAUUAACUAUUUUUUAUCAAGCAUUUAUUAACAAACACAUCUAAAAUGCUCUGAAAGCAAAGCUUUCACUUUCGUUUAUACGAAAAUAUUACAUUGUGCCUGGACAGGAUUGGCUUCUAUAAGUCAGCCCAUCAGGAAGAAGAUAUGAAGUCAGCCAAUCAGGAGGGAGAUAUAAAGGAAAGUAUAAAAACUAUGCAAAGUCUCUGCACAAUAGAUUUGACCUUGUCGCUUGCAAACCUUCUGCCUUGAAUCGAAACUUAUUGUGAUUAUGAGCUCAUCAGGGGACAGCGAAGGAGAGGAUGAUGAUGAUGAAAAUGAUGAUGAAGAUAACCAGGGUGCUGGAAUAAGCAUCUGCUGCUAAGGGUAUAUGCUCCAGACCUUGUAUCCAGUGUUAGAAAACACCAAAAGAGACACGCUGGACCACGAACUGUGUUGAUUUGCUGAUACAAACCAGUAGCCCAGUCGAACGCACAGUUCCUGUUGUGACAAAGAGUCACAAACAGAAAACCCUCGCCUGCCAUGCGCAAGCAAGCAUGGCCAACCGUGACGUGACACAGAAUCUUCCAUGGAGACGAUGCAUCUCGCAAGGUUUCUGCUGUGCAGUGGCAGCAGCAUCUCUGUUCUUCGGAUCGGCAUUGCUUUUGUGCCUGUUUGUGCGAGCCUGAAGAACCCAUGGAGGAAAGAAAGAAAUAAACAUGGAGUGGUGGAAACCUGAUGGUUAAAGAUCUGAGCUGCUGGUCCAGAGGUUUGAAGAUUUGAACACAAUCUUCCUAAUCCACCAUUGUGCUCCUGAGCAAAGCACUUGACUUCAAGUUAUUUCAGCAGGACUUAAAGUACUGCAAUUGUUUCACUGUAAUCACUCAUAAGCAUCCAAUUUUAAACAAACAGGAUGGGCUGGACGGGCAACAUUAAUGGAUGCAUUUUGCUCAUAAACUAGGGGGUCACCGCCCUAUUAAAGCCCAGGUGUAACUGUUUUAUUGUUAUAAAGAUAAUUUAUGGCUGCUUUGUCUGUGUAACUCUCCAGAAUAACUAGCAGAUGGUUUUUGGAGUAGCAGAGAUCAGGGGCAGAGGUAAAAGAUCACUGUUCAUUUUUCUUCCAGAAACGUCUUUUAGCUCCAGAGCUUUAAUGCCACAAUACUGGCAUUCAGCCAUAAAGAGCGUGUUUAGUGCGGGACUACAUGCUCACCAGGACGUGGUCAACAAGCACACCCAAUCUGCAGGUUGUGCUUACAAAGUUGAAUUCACAGAGUUCUGAUAACUUAUUAAAACACACAAUACACCAAUAUCACACACUGCUAGUGCACACACUAUGCAACACGUGUAGACAUAAAUGAGAAUGUAAUGGGUAAAGUAACUCAUGCAUAACUCAUGUCCGAAUAGGACUUAGGUCUAGCCUAAAUGAAGCCCCGCUGGUCACAACACCAUCGGCACUCAUGUCAUAUUGGGAGAUUAUGUUGUACUUAGUUAUGUGGUAAUGGGGAUUAUUAGCAUUGAUGUUAUUCAUGUCAUAACUGUGACUGUAUUACACUAGCUAGUAAGCCACACGGUAACUCCCCUCUUAAAUAAAGUUGUGUGAUAAAAGGA